GUUUGUUAAGGGAGACAUUUCAUAUACAUGUUGGAAAUCCACGCCUGGCAUCUCCAGUAAGGGCAGAAAAAAAUCCUGUUGAAAAUCUAGAGAGGUGCUGUCAGCCAUUAUUUAUAAUUCAGGGAGCAAUUAUUUGAUUCAGUAUAAACACUUUUCCCAUGUUCUAUGCCCUGUAUUUUAUAAUUAAAGUAGGGUACAGUGCUCAAAAUGAAGAGUAUUUAGUUGAUUAACUAUCUGCCUCUUAAUACAAGUAAAUUCAUUAACACAAAUUAAUAUACUACCUAAACCACUCUAUAGAUCUUUUGUUUGAUGCUGAUGCAACAUGAAAUGAGCAAAUGGAAAGUUUCUUGUUUUGCAACGACAUGUCAUUAAUGUUUACCUCUUCAUUACCGAGUUCAUUAAGAAUUUGUAUUAAUUCUCUCUUACAGCAACAUUCCCAAACCAAAGGGACUGAGAAAAUAACUGGGCCUCAUAUCUGAACCUCACUAAUUCAAAUGGUCUCUUACUGAUUAAUCAACCAAGGCUGCAUAUUUAAUUGGGAAUAAGUCCCACUGAAUUCACUGGAUCACUUGUAAGUAAAUGUGUGAAAUCUUUUUGCCAUGUUUUAAAUUCAUGACAGACUACAUCUGUUUGGCUUCUCUUUUCCUUAAACCAUUUUCACCCUGCUAGUUGUUAACAAUUUGUCUUUCAGCACCUCAUCCCUUUUUCCUUUCAUAUAAUCUCUUUCAGAUCAUAAGACUUUCCUCUGGCAGUAUGGUGAUCAAGAAGCAGGGGAAAGGGACAGUGCCAUCUUCCCUGUUGGAAAAUCCCAUCAUUGCCUCCCUCCCUUGCUUUUAGAGCAAUUAGAUAGGACAGGAUUUCCUGCACGUGAAACUCUUCUUUGUUUCUCACCUAAAGCCUCCCAAUGUGUUCUUCCUACCCUCUGGAAUACAUACUAAGAAAUACCUCUCUUGUGUCUGCAGGUAACUAGACCAUGUGAUCCAAGAAUGUUUCUAGGAUCAUCAGUCAUAUAAAGACCCUGCAUCUCAGUCUCUGCAAUACGAAAUUAUUUUCUCUUUUCAGUUUUCAGAUCUUUUUUUUUCCUGUCCUCAGUCAUGCUUCAAUUCAACAUCAAAAGAUGGAGAUGACCUGACUCCUGAGUAGACCGGCCUGGAACAUCAAGCAUCACGAAUGGCAAGCCUGUCCCUGCCCCUUCUGUGAAAAUUUCAGACAGGAAUAUAAAAUUACAACUACUGCUGAAGGCAUUGCCCUUGUACCAUUAAGCUAAUAAGUAUAAUCUCCUUUUUCCACUCUGUAUUAACUUGAGGUAAGAAGAGGAAAGGUUUGACCUAAGUUGGGCUCUCAUAAUAUAGCUUUAUCAAAUAGGCCAUGUAUAUUAUUCUCUUGGCUCUGCUAGCUGCUGUAACUGAGAUUUAAAUGAAUGCAUAUUUCAAUAAAAGAUGGGUUAUGGUGAGCUGCUCCUUGCUGUUUAUAUUAAGGAUACUCUCCGCUCUAGGCUUUGCUCUAAAGAAACAAGUGAUACUGAUUUUCCAUGGGACUUGGGGGCUGUAGCAACCCCUUGCAAUGUGUCACAUGAUUUUUAAUUUUUUAAAAAUAAAACUUAAAAAAAAAGUUUUAGGUCCAGGAGAGGCCUUUAAAAAAGUGAAUUACUUGUCCAAGAAAAAGCUUCACUUAGGCCCCAAACAAUGUGUGACAGACAAAGCAUGGCAAAAUGUCCCCAUGUCCCCUGGGGAGUUGGGGAGUUAUUUUGGACCAGCAUUUGGUCCAAAAUGCCAUUCUGAUUCUGAACCGAUGCCUGUCAUCAGUGAUGGACUGGAUGAAGGCCAAAAAAACUGAACCUAAAUCCUGACAAGAAAGAGGUACUCCUGGUCAGUCGAAAGGCGGAUCAGGGUGUGGGAUUACAACCUGUGUUGGAUGGGGUCGCACUCCCCCUCAAGACACAGACAGGUUCGCAGUCUGGGUGUGCUUCUGGACUCAUUGUUGACCCUGGAACCUCAGGUUUCGGUAGUGGCCAGGAGACAGUUAAAACUUGUGUGCCAGCUACACCCAUACCUUGAGAUGCCAGACUUGGCCAUUGUACUCCAAAGCUACCCAGUCACAUGGACUACUGCAACACUCUCUACAUGGAGCUGCCUUUGAAGAUAGUUUGGAAACUACAGCUAGUUCAGCAAUUGGCAGCCAGGUUACUAACUGGAGCCCCGUACAGGGAGAGAACUACUCCCAUGUUGCGGCAGCUCCACUGGCUGCCAGUUCGUUUCCGAGCUAAAUAAAAAAUGCUGGUAGUUACCUAUAAAGCCCCAAACGGCUCAAGUCCAGGCUAUUUGUCAAAUCGCAUCUCCCUGUAUAGACCAUCUCGGGCACUUCGGUCAGCGGAGGAGGCCCUGCUCUUGGUCCCACCCCUGUCACAAGUGCAGUUGGUGGGAAUAAGAAAGGGGGCCUUCUCCGUGAUCACCUCCUGCCUCUGGAACUCCCUCCCUAAAGAAGAAAAAUAGUCCCCACCCUCCUCUUCUUUAAGAAACAGUUAAAGACACAUCUAUGCACCUUAGUGUAUGGAGAGGAGGAGGAUUAACAUAACUGCCACCCCACAGCAGCUGUGGUCUAAGUGAAACUACAACAAAUACUAAACAUUUUCAGCAACUUGGUCAUUUAAAUCGGUCCAGGUAUAUGCUCGCUCUGUGCAAUAAUGUUUCUACUGAGUGUCAUGUUUAAAUUUGUUUUUUCUAAAUUUUCUAAAUAUAAUAUUUUUUAUUAUAACAGGUAUGCUAUUGUCAUUUUAUAAUUUUGGUAUUAGUGAAAUAUUGAAUGUUUGUUGUUUAUAUGUAUGUUAACUGCUCUGAGUCCCUCUGGGGAGAGAGGGCGGUCUAAAAAUAAAUAAUUAUUAUUACUA